rnacentral:rRNA from 1 species
UACGUAGGGGGCAAGCGUUGUCCGGAUUUAUUGGGCGUAAAGAGCGUGUAGGCGGCCAGGUAGGUCAGCUGUGAAAACUCGAGGCUCAACCUCGAGACGUCGGUUGAAACCAUCUGACUAGAGUCCGGAAGAGGAGAGUGGAAUUCCUGGUGUAGCGGUGAAAUGCGCAGAUAUCAGGAAGAACACCCGUGGCUAAGGCGGCUCUCUAGUACGGUACUGACGCUGAGACGCGAAAGCGUGGGGAGCGAACAGG